UACGAAGGGGGCGAGCGUUGUUCGGAUUUACUGGGCGUAAAGGGCGCGCAGGCGGCAGAUCAAGUCAGACGUGAAAGCCCCGGGCUUAACCUGGGAACUGCGUUUGGGACUGGUUUGCUAGAGAUCGGGAGAGGAGAGUGGAAUUCCCAGUGUAGAGGUGAAAAUUCGUAGAUAUUCGCAAGAACACCAGUGGCGGAAGGCGGAGCUCGACCUGGCCCCGGUACGUCGG
rnacentral:rRNA from 1 species